ACCUGCUACAGGGAGAAAGGUAACCUGGAUAAAGCUGGAGAACAGUCUACGCUCAGGCUGCAUGUUCAAAUUCCUGGCUCAGAUCCUGCACAGGCAGCUACUAAAGCAAACCAAGACCCUACUUGAUCUUCCCUGGGUUCCAUUAGUAAUACUGCCAAGCACGGACUGAAGUACAGAUAAGUGUACCUCUAAAGGCAGGAACUUCUCAGUCAUUAGUAAAAUCACACGCACCUGAUGGUUACCGACCUAAAUGAGCUUGGAAUGGGAAGGUUUCGGUGCCAGAAUGCUGAACACAACCAAACCCCUCACUGUGGUACCCCAAGACUGCUGUCCACACGGAAGCACAGUGGAUGAGGAGAACACACCCAUGCGCAGCAAGAGAUCACUACAGGCGCUGCCCGAUUGGUUCUUCUUUUGAGGAAGGGUUCAGAAGCCUCUCACAAGUGGUUCAACACCAGCUUUCAACAGGCUGGCCAGCAGGAAGAGUCAGAAUCCUUUCGGAAAUCUGAACUAUGUAUUCUGUUGGUAAAGUCUGACAGCAUACAUGAAAUCUCAG